rnacentral:lncRNA from 1 species
GAUAAAGCAUUAUAGGCUAGUAACUGCACCUGAAAAUCGUUGAGAGACCUCAUCUUCUUUAUUAAAAGUGAACCAGACUAUCAAAUGCUAUCUUUAUUGAAAUCUACAUGCUAUGAUUGAUGUUUGGUGUAAUUUUAACCGUGUUCUUGAAUCCUCCAUAUGAUUAAGACAAUAAUUGCUUCUUUUUUAAAAUCCAACUUCCAUAUUUAUACCUUUUCUUG